rnacentral:rRNA from 1 species
GACGAACGCUGGCGGCGUGCUUAACACAUGCAAGUCGAACGGAAAGGCCCUGCUUUUGUGGGGUGCUCGAGUGGCGAACGGGUGAGUAACACGUGAGUAACCUGCCCUUGACUUUGGGAUAACUUCAGGAAACUGGGGCUAAUACCGGAUAGGAGCUCCUGCUGCAUGGUGGGGGUUGGAAAGUUUCGGUGGUUGGGGAUGGACUCGCGGCUUAUCAGCUUGUUGGUGGGGUAGUGGCUUACCAAGGCUUUGACGGGUAGCCGGCCUGAGAGGGUGACUGGCCACAUUGGGACUGAGAUACGGCCCAGACUCCUACGGGAGGCAGCAGUGGGGAAUAUUGCACAAUGGGCGGAAGCCUGAUGCAGCAACGCCGCGUGCGGGAUGACGGCCUUCGGGUUGUAAACCGCUUUCGCCUGUGACGAAGCGUGAGUGACGGUAAUGGGUAAAGAAGCACCGGCUAACUACGUG